rnacentral:rRNA from 1 species
UACGUAGGGGGCUAGCGUUGUCCGGAUUUAUUGGGCGUAAAGAGCGUGUAGGCGGCCAGGUAGGUCCGUUGUGAAAACUCGAGGCUCAACCUCGAGACGUCGGCGGAAACCCUCUGGCUAGAGUCCGGAAGAGGAGAGUGGAAUUCCUGGUGUAGCGGUGAAAUGCGUAGAUAUCUGGAGGAGCACCGGUGGCGAAGGCGGGUCUCUGGACCGAUACUGACACUGAGGAGCGAAAGCGUGGGGAGCGAACAGG